AGAACAGUAGCAGCAUGAGACUCAAUUGGAGAUCCCAUUUUGAGGGAGACUUUAUGGGCCUUUCGUUGCACCUUUUGCUUUGGUCCUGCAUCUACUUUAUAUCCAACAGCUACAGCAACCUUCUCUACAAAGUUAUCAAGAGAGUGAGCACUCAAAAUCCGUUGGAUAAAAGCAUUUAUCAAGUCUGACUGGAAGGUACUGGUCAUUCCAGCAAAAAAGUGACAUCUCAAAAAUGGUAGAGCCCAAAAGGCGCGCAAUGCAUAUAAACUGGCAAUGUGUUUAUUUCC
rnacentral:misc_RNA from 1 species